rnacentral:lncRNA from 1 species
GAAGAACACAUUGAAAGCCAUGUCAAUCUGUAAUGUGAAAUCUUUGUAGAAAUUCUGGCAGGAUUCUAUUGGGUUUGAUGAAUCUAUGAAGUAUAUUACAAGAGCACCAAUACUAAGAGCGAAGACUAAGACAACAAGUACUCUGCCAGUUAGUGUCUGGGCAGAUAUCAUGACUCCUGCCCAGUCUUUCACGGAGGUCAUCCAUCC